GCAGAAUCAAAGAAUAAGCUUCUCAAAGUCAGAUGUCAGAAGAAACCUCGUGCAGAGUCUAUGGAAAUGGUAUUGUUUUCUGAAGAGUCUUCUUACGAAGCUAUUCAAGUGCCUUUUGCCUCUCUCGUGAACGAAGAAUGUGAUGAUUGGGAUGCAUCUGAUGCGAUACAGGUUUUCAAACCUCACAAGGAGGAGCCUCCUCAUAAGGAGGCUACUACAGUUGUGAAUCAUAAAGAUGAUGAUGUUACACCAAAGAAGUUGGUACAAGAUGGUGUGCGGAGGAAACAUCACAGGCUCUGGACUGUUUCAGAGGUUAGAAAGUUGAUUGAUGGAGUUGCCCAAUAUGGAGUUGGAAGAUGGAGUCACAUAAAGAAG
rnacentral:misc_RNA from 1 species